ACCCAUAGGUGAAGCCCUCAGGGAGUGGGUAGUUGGUGUGGGUGGGAGUUGGAUGUAGUUCUCACCCAUAGGUGAAGCCCUCAGGGAGUGGGUAGGGAAUGUGGGUGGGAGUUGGAUGUAGUUCUCACCCAUAGGUGAAGCCCUCAGGGAGUGGGUAGGGAAUGUGGGUGGGAGUUGGAUGUAGUUCUCACCCAUAGGUGAAGCCCUCAGGGAGUGGGUAGGGAAUGUGGGUGGGAGUUGGAUGUAGUUCUCACCCAUAGGUGAAGCCCUCAGGGAGUGGGUAGGGAAUGUGGGUGGGAGUUGGAUGUAGUUCUCACCCAUAGGUGAAGCCCUCAGGGAGUGGGUAGGGAAUGUGGGUGUUGGGCAUGAGGAAGAACG